UUUUACUCGCAGAAUGUUCUUCGACACAGAGACGCUGCUUCAUCUGGCGAUACGAAUUCCGUAACUCAUCUCAUUAACGCACAAUUACACCGCCGCUGAUACGAUUUGGCUCUUUCUAACGCUUCUUCAGUCUCCAUUAUAUAGCUGCUUCCAAGUUUCUCCGGUCGCUAACGCCGUCGUCGCCCGAUCCACAUUCAACUCUCUCCGUCUCGGAUGAACUUCUCAGUUCGUUGUUGGUCGUUUGCAUUUUUAAAUUUCUGAACCUCUUAUAUUUUAUUUUCUUUGUAAGGCUCACAUUGUUGGUGUCCUCCAACGAAAUGAAUGGUGGUUUGUUUCUUGCACCAGUUGCAGCCGGAAGAUUACAGAAUCCGACACUUUAUUCCGUUGCAACAGAUGUGUUUCUGCCAACGUGACCGGAGUCAUCAGACAUCAGUUUGACGUCCUCUCUAUCCAAGUUCCGUAACUAGCUGUUGAUGAUGGAAAGGACAGUGCCACUUUUGUGGUCUUCAUCAGAGAGAUGACAAAACUCAUCAAGAAAUAGGCAAGCAAGUCUGGCUCUUGAGGAGAUGAGUAGCAGUGAGGAUAUGGAGGUACCAAAAUGUCUAUCUGGCAAUGAACAUGUUUCUCAGCUACGUGUAACUCCCACCGUACGUUCACCGUCUCAGCAAUCAUUGAAGAUCUCUUACUUAGCACUUAGGCAGAGAGAGUGGCAGCAGCAACCCAGCUCCAGUCGUGGGUAUGGAAUCUGGACAAGCAACAUGGGUGAUGCGCCAAACAUUUCACCGGAGGUUGCUGUAGCAAGUCUGCCAGCUUCUCUAGGCGACGAAACACCUGCAAACGCCCCGUGAAUGAUUGUCGCAGGGCCAUGUAACGUCAACCCCACUUAGCUUUCGUCUCAUUUCAAUUUUCUGUUUCCAUAUGUUUUCCCUAUUUUUAACUUUGGUUAAGCUUUGAUUUGCUGUAAACUAUCUCUUACUGGUGUAAGAAUUACUAUUACUUUAAAGUGACCAUUGACGUGUCUUUGCUUA